rnacentral:rRNA from 1 species
UGGGGAAUAUUGGACAAUGGGCGCAAGCCUGAUCCAGCCAUGCCGCGUGUGUGAUGAAGGCCUUAGGGUUGUAAAGCACUUUCGCCGAUGAAGAUAAUGACGGUAGUCGGAGAAGAAGCCCCGGCUAACUUCGUGCCAGCAGCCGCGGUAAUACGAAGGGGGCAAGCGUUGUUCGGAUUUACUGGGCGUAAAGCGUACGUAGGCGGAUAAUUAAGUCAGGGGUGAAAUCCCGAGGCUCAACCUCGGAACUGCCUUUGAUACUGGUUAUCUUGAGUCCGGGAGAGGUGAGUGGAACUCCUAGUGUAGAGGUGAAAUUCGUAGAUAUUAGGAAGAACACCAGUGGCGAAGGCGGCUCACUGGCCCGGAACUGACGCUGAGGUACGAAAGCGUGGGGAGCAAACA